rnacentral:tRNA from 1 species
GAGGGUAUAGUUCAGUGGUAGAACACGUGCUUAGCAUGCGUGAGGUCCUGAGUUCAAUCCCCUGUACCUCUA